rnacentral:rRNA from 1 species
AACGAACGCUGGCGGCAUGCCUAACACAUGCAAGUCGAACGAUAUCUUCGGGUCUAGUGGCCCACGGGUGCGUAACGCGUGGGAAUCUGCCCUUUGGUUCGGAAUAACAGUUGGAAACGACUGCUAAUAACGGAUGAUGACGAAAGUCCAAAGAUUUAUCGACAGAGGAUGAGCCCGCGUAGGAUUAGCUAGUUGGUGUUGUAGAGGCGCACAAAGGCGACGAUCCUUAGCUGGUCUGAGAGGAUGAUCAGCCACAUUGGUAGUGAGAUACGGCCGUGUCUCCUGCUGCAGGCAGCAGUGGGGAUUAUUGCACAAUGGGCGAUGGCAUGAACGAGCAAGGCCGCUUGAGUGAUUAAGGUCGUGAGGUUGUAAAGCUCUUUUACACUUGAUCAUGAUGACAGUACCGGGAGAAUAAGCUCCGGCUAACUCCGUGCCAGCCGCCGCAGUAA